rnacentral:rRNA from 1 species
CGUAGGUGGCAAGCGUUGUCCGGAAUUAUUGGGCGUAAAGCGCGCACAGGCGGCCUAUCCAGUCUGUCUUAAAAGUUCGGGGCUAAACCCCGUGAUGGGAUGGAAACUAGUAGGCUAGAGUAUCGGAGAGGAAAGCGGAAUUCCUAGUGUAGCGGUGAAAUGCGUAGAUAUUAGGAAGAACACCAGUGGCGAAGGCGGCUUUCUGGACGAAAACUGACGCUGAGGCGCGAAAGCCAGGGGAGCGAACGGGAUU